UCCCAUGGUGUGACGGGCGGUGUGUACAAGGCCCGGGAACGUAUUCACCGUGGCAUUCUGAUCCACGAUUACUAGCGAUUCCGACUUCAUGGAGUCGAGUUGCAGACUCCAAUCCGGACUACGACGCACUUUAUGAGGUCCGCUUGCUCUCGCGAGGUCGCUUCUCUUUGUAUGCGCCAUUGUAGCACGUGUGUAGCCCUGGUCGUAAGGGCCAUGAUGACUUGACGUCAUCCCCACCUUCCUCCAGUUUAUCACUGGCAGUCUCCUUUGAGUUCCCGGCCGGACCGCUGGCAACAAAGGAUAAGGGUUGCGCUCGUUGCGGGACUUAACCCAACAUUUCACAACACGAGCUGACGACAGCCAUGCAGCACCUGUCUCACGGUUCCCGAAGGCACAUUCUCAUCUCUGAAAACUUCCGUGGAUGUCAAGACCAGGUAAGGUUCUUCGCGUUGCAUCGAAUUAAACCACAUGCUCCACCGCUUGUGCGGGCCCCCGUCAAUUCAUUUGAGUUUUAACCUUGCGGCCGUACUCCCCAGGCGGUCUACUUAACGCGUUAGCUCCGGAAGCCACGCCUCAAGGGCACAACCUCCAAGUAGACAUCGUUUACGGCGUGGACUACCAGGGNNNNNNNNNNNNNNNNNNNNAUCUAAUCCUGUUUGCUCCCCACGCUUUCGCACCUGAGCGUCAGUCUUUGUCCAGGGGGCCGCCUUCGCCACCGGUAUUCCUCCAGAUCUCUACGCAUUUCACCGCUACACCUGGAAUUCUACCCCCCUCUACAAGACUCAAGCCUGCCAGUUUCGAAUGCAGUUCCCAGGUUGAGCCCGGGGAUUUCACAUCCGACUUGACAGACCGCCUGCGUGCGCUUUACGCCCAGUAAUUCCGAUUAACGCUUGCACCCUCCGUAUUACCGCGGCUGCUGGCACGGAGUUAGCCGGUGCUUCUUCUGCGGGUAACGUCAAUUGCUGCGGUUAUUAACCACAACACCUUCCUCCCCGCUGAAAGUACUUUACAACCCGAAGGCCUUCUUCAUACACGCGGCAUGGCUGCAUCAGGCUUGCGCCCAUUGUGCAAUAUUCCCCACUGCUGCCUCCCGUAGGAGUCUGGACCGUGUCUCAGUUCCAGUGUGGCUGGUCAUCCUCUCAGACCAGCUAGGGAUCGUCGCCUUGGUGAGCCGUUACCUCACCAACAAGCUAAUCCCAUCUGGGCACAUCUGAUGGCAAGAGGCCCGAAGGUCCCCCUCUUUGGUCUUGCGACGUUAUGCGGUAUUAGCCACCGUUUCCAGUAGUUAUCCCCCUCCAUCAGGCAGUUUCCCAGACAUUACUCACCCGUCCGCCACUCGUCAGCAAAGCAGCAAGCUGCUUCCUGUUACCGUUCGACUUGCAUGUGUUAGGCCUGCCGCCAGCGUUCAAUCUGAGCCAUGAUCAAACUCUUCAAUUUAAAAGUUUGAUGCUCAAUGAAUUAAACUUCGUAAUGAAUUACGUGUUCACUCUUGAGACUUGGUAUUCAUUUUUCGU
rnacentral:rRNA from 1 species